GAUGAAGAACGUAGCGAAAUGCGAUAAGUAAUGUGAAUUGCAGAAUUCAGUGAAUCAUCGAAUCUUUGAACGCACCUUGCGCCCUUUGGCCAUUCCGAAGGUCAUGCCUGUUUGAGUAUCAUGAACACCUCAACUCUUCAUGGUUUUCCAUGAUGAGCUUGGACUUUGGGGGUCUUGCUGGCCUGUGGGUCGGCUCCUCUCAAAUGAAUCAGCUUGCCGGUUUUUGGUGGGCAUCACAGGUGUGAUAACUAUCUACGCUUGUGGUUUUCCACCAGGGUAACCUUCAGCAGUGGAGGUUCACUGGAGCUUACAAAUGUCUCUCCUCUGUGAGGACAGCCCUUUGAAUGUUUGAUCUCAAAUCAGGUAGGACUACCCGCUGAACUUAAGCAUAUCAAUAAGCGGAGGA
rnacentral:misc_RNA from 1 species